rnacentral:rRNA from 1 species
ACAUGGGACCAUAGGGUGUGGAAAACAGGGCUUCCCGUCCGCUCAGCCGUACUUAAGCCACACGCCGGUGAGUUAGUAGUUGGGUGGGUGACCACCAGCGAAUCCUCACUGUUGUAUGUU